CUGUAGCUUUUUACUCCAUUUUUUAUUUUCUCCACAGCAUCAUACCUUUAAAGCAAUGAGACAGGAAGGCUACAUUAUUAUAGCCGAUUUUCAGGGUUUUUUACUGUC